AGCCGCACCAGAGGCAUAUGGAGGUUCCCAGGGGAGGGGUCUAAUCAGAGCUGUAGCCGCCAGCCUACACCACAGCCACAGCAACGCGGGAUCUGAGCCACAUCUGUGACCUACACAACAGCUCAUGGCAAGGCUGGAUCCUUAACCCACUGAGCGAGGCCAAGGAUUGAACCUGUAACCUCACAGUUCCUAGUUGGAUUCGUUUCCACUGUAUCACAAGGGGAACUCCGAGUCCUUUUUUUUUUUUUUUCGGCCACACCUGAGGUGUAUGGGAGUUCCCAUGCCAGGGAUCUAAUCUGAGCCACAGCUGUGAAUUAUGCCACACUGGGUUCUUAGUUCACUGCUUCACAGUGGGAACUCCCUAAAACUGAGCCAUUUUGAACGUCAGUCUGGAAGAGGCCUUCUAUUCAAACACGUUCCUACAAGGAUGUCAUCCGUAAGAUUUCACUGAUGUUCCCAUUAACACUCCACUGAUGGCCACAAUAAUACUGCAAGUUUCAGUCAGAUGCGCACACCUCUUGCUGAGUCCUGAGCUAGGGGUUAGUAACUCGGAAUUUAGCUGAAAGUAACUGAAACACACUUAUUUGGCAAUUCUACGAAGAGGACCUCAGGACACACACGUGACAGAUGGGGGUGAUGCAGCUGCAAAGAAUGCCCACGGGUGGCUGGCGUCCAUCAGAAGCCAUGAAGAGGCAAAGACGGAUGCUUCCCUGGAACUUUCAGAGGGAGCACAAGCCUGCCUGGACACUGAUUUUAGACUUUCUGACCUCCAGAUUGCGGCAGAAUAAAUCUCUACUGUUUAAGCCACCCGCUUUCAACUGUUUGUUAUGGCAGCUCUAGGAAACUAACACAAAUGUGAAGUUCAACUUCUAGUUUUCUAUGUAUUUUAGAAGAAACUGAUGUAAAGACUCAUUCCAGAUAAGCGGCGCUUUCAGAACAUGCGCUGAUGUAACAAAUACAAAAAUUCCCAAUUCUCUAAUCCUACUUCCAUCUGACACACGCGCGCGCGCACACACACACACACCACACACACACACUACAUUCCUUAACAAAAUAUCACAAACUACACAAGGAAAUAAUCUUUCACGAGACAGCAAGCAGCCUAUACGAAGGUUAAAAAUCCCAAGAAUUUAAGAUAAAUGGGAGACCACAAGAGAAGUAAGUAGGUUUUGAAAUGAUUUAAGAACUAUGAAGAAAAAAUACGACGCUGUGAGAAAAGAACAGGGAGUUUUAUAAAAAAGCAGAAUUUCUAGACUUAAAAAAAAAUGAAUUAAGUACAAUGAAAAUUCCAGGGCCUGCAAUGAAAAAACGUAAUGGACUGGUAAGUAAUAAAAGAAGUGCAGUUAAAGAGGGGCAUAGAUCUGCGUAAAUUAUACUGGGAACUAACUGCGGAGUUUAAAAUAUUUAUUUCUCCGUAUCUUUGCAGGUAUCUGCAGCACUUGAUUCUUUCCACUCGUGUAUAAUAACAAGGAAAUGACUAUCAUUGCCACGCACUUGGCCGCGACUUUAUUUUUAAGUGGCAUGAAUUCCUAGACCAAAUUCCAAAGAAUCUUGCUAUCAUGGUUGAAACGAUUGAUUCUGGAUGAUAAGCUCCCGUCUCAGGCACCGACUUGCCAUUUUUCCUUCCACAGCUGUGUGUGUACAAUGCGUUCAAAGACAACACGAAAGACCCACAGCCCAAACCUAGCACUAACUUCAAACUAACACUUGUUAAAAAGCAAUCGCUUUCAAAAUUUGGUAACAUCUGAUGCAGUCGAUGUGUUUGUUGGUUUGUUUUUGGCCACACUCUCAGCAUACAGAAGUUUCCCAGGGCCAGGGAUCAAACCCACACCAUAGUAGUGACCCGAGUUGCAACAGCGAGAACACCAGACCCCUAACCUGCCGAGCCACACGGGAACUCCUAAUUCAAAAAAUUAUUGAUCAAGCAUCUGACACAGUACGAAAAGUGCAAAAAUAAUGGCUUUUGGCAAAUUCAGGCUUCACAUGAUCUAAUGUGAAAGGCACCUGGAGUCAUACCCUGGCUACAUCAUACCCUGGGCUCAAUCACCGCUGUCAACGGAGGUGUCAUUCUGAGAGGGUGCUAGGAACUGUAAGUGAAGGAAAGAAACCCAGUGUGGCACCAGUGGGGAGAAAAGCUUUGGAAGACCUGCCUGUGCCCUUGAACCCAAUUCCUCCUCCCUUCUCCUCGCUCCUCCUCCUCUUCUCUUACAGGAUUAAUUCAUUUACAUGGACUAUUGAAAUAGUAACUGCCUAACAGUGCAGUCUGCACGCAGAUAUGGUAACAAUAAAGAAGGCAACUGAAUGACUGAAAUUUGAAAAAAACACUGAUUUAAAUCUAUCCAGCAAAAUUUAUGAAUGGAAUAUUUGUACAGUCCCAGUACAAUAAGUAUAUACAUAAUUUACUAGGACACUCCACUUGUAAGUAUAUAAAUUCUGUUCAUAAAUAUUUAUAGCAGUUGAAUGUAAAGCUAAACUUGAAUAAUAAUGAGGCAAAAAUCAAUUUUUUGUUGCUAGCUUUUAGAGAAUAAAGUGUUGUGCUCUCCAUAGGAAUUAUCAUAACUGAUAAAAUAGUAUGUAUGCGUGUCUAUAAUCUUAAAAUAAAUUAUAGGAAGGAUUAACCAAUCAAUGAGAAAGAAAUGAAUAAUUUAAUAAUCAUGUGAGCAAAAUAGAUAAUUUGGGGGAGAAACAGAAAUAAGACUAUUCUCUUACACAUUAAGCUGAAAUAUAGUCCAAAUAAAUUAAAGGUUUAAUCUCACCCUAACAACAAACCCUAGAAGAACAUACAAAUUAAUGUGCAAGCCCCAGUUUUAAUAAUUAAAAAACACUUUAAAUACAGUUUCUAGUCCUAAAUCCUGGACUUGGAGAAUAGACUUGUGGUUGCCAAGGGGGAGGGGGAGGAGGGGGGAGGGAUGGGGAACUUGGGGUUAAUAGCUGCAGACUAUUGCCUUUGGAAUGGAUAAGCAAUGAGAUGCUGCUGUGUAGCACUGGGAACUAUGUCUGGUCACUUAUGAUGGAGCAGGAUCAUGUGAGAAAACAGAAUGUGUACACGUGUGUGUGACUCGGUCAUCUUGCUGCACAGUAGGAAAUUGACAGAACACUGUAAACCAGCUAUAAUGGAAAAAAUAAAAAUUGUUAUAUAAAAAAAGAAAGAAAAGACAAAAGGCUGACUCUGCAAUACCUCAACUUUAAUACUUAUUUAGGCCCAUUUGAUUCCAAAAUUAGCCUAAGACAGUUUACAAAGUUACAUAUAAUAUGGCAAAAUAAAAUGAUUUAAAAAUCAAUAAAAGGGUCAGGGAAAAUAUUAUAACUGUGUUAUAUAAUAAUAAAUUAUUAUUAUAACUAUAAUUCAUGUUGUGAAUUUUGAUACACUUUCUAAAAGUAUCACUGUGGCUGUAAGUUUCCCAGAAGUAAGCAUAAGGUUGAACAUGGCCACCCAUGGAAUUUCUAUAAAAUAAUAUUAUCUUCAUAUGCAUAAUUUUCAUACAGAACAGAAAUGACAAAUCAGAGGAUAUAACGACCAGUUUUAAUGGCAGUCACAGCUAUAACAGCAACAAAAAUGAUCAAGCUAGCAAUGUUAUUUCUCUUAAAAAGCCAUAAUGCAAAUACUGAACAAUGGAUACUCCAAUAAAUGGAUAUUAAAUCAUUCAUUGGUACACACAGACCCUGGAACGUGUUUUGGCAGCGCAUGGAAACUUUAAAUAAGUUCCUAUCCUGCCCCAGAAUUCCGCUUCUAGAAAACUAUCACAGGGAAUAACUGAAGAAGCAAGCAAAGGCUUAUGCUCCGGGGAAAGGACAGCACUAUUUAUACAGGGAAGAAACUGGGAACAGACUACACGUUCCACAAGAAACAACUACUGCGUUACCCCCAUUUAACAGACUACUUUGCAGGCAUUAAAAUAAUGGUAUAGUUUUUGAAUGAUACCGUGAUAUGCUUAAAAGCCAUUAAAUACAGUAUGAUCUCAACAAAGAUAAAUGAUACAGACAACAUAAAAGGCAUUUGGGUAUGAUUUAGUGACUAUAUUUUCUUAAAAUUUUCUGAUUUUUCCAUUUUGUUUUCUGUAGAUAUACAGGUCUCUUAAAAAUAGUGAAUGUUUUCUUCUGAUCUGAAAAACUGCUCAGCACAAGGAGGAUUAACCUUGAAGAGGGAAAAAAGUGAGGGCAGGCGCCAGCACAGAAACAAUUAAGGAGCAAAAUGUUUAGAGCGCGCACAGUGAAGAGUCCUAAAAUCCCCAGGAAAGCAGGACAGGGCGGGAACAAUGAGCAGAAGGAUUUGAAGCUGGGGGUUAGUCUGGAAGAGACAGUGUCCCGAAUGGGAGAUGGAGCUGGGGGGAGAUGUGGAAAGGCUUAGAGGAACAGGUUUGGAUGGGAGAUCCUACCACUGCAGGGCUCAAGUUCAGGGCUGAGAAGGUCACCUGCAGGACAGCAGUGCGUGGUUUUCGGUGGGGGCUGGGGGGGUGGCCAUAGAAGAACAACAUCCCCAGGAGGUCAAGUUCUUGGUGCUGGCAGAGAAAUGAGCAAGGCCAUGACCUACAGGCUUAGGGCAGCUGAAACGGGAGAGGGGCCAUGACAGAGAUGACGGGAGGGGAGAAAACUGGAGCGUGUGCUCCCAGGGAACCCUGUUAAAAUGAAGACGACAGCGGGGUCCCCAUCUUCAGGUUAAUCUCUUGGUGAUUUCCAGGUACCUGCAUUUUUAUGAAGAGUCUGUGGUGGUGAAUGAUGAGACCACAGGCAGUCCAAGGGCCAUGUUUUGAGAAAUCUGAGAGUGGAUAUGAUACGACACACAAGAGGUAAAUGACUUAUAACACUCAUAAGACUCGAAAAGCAGGGGUAUCCAGAAAAAAGAGGUGAGAAGCCCGAGCCUCUGCUCAGAAGUUUAGGAACGGAAGGUGAGAACUUCAGAGGCAGGAGGUCCCGGAUGGUGACAUGGUCCAGACAGUGCAUCAAAUCCCUUGCAGAGGAGGGAGGAGCAAGGGGGAACUUGAAGAUGAGGAAGCUAAGGAACCCUGCCUUUUGGUUUGUGGAAAUCUUCCACUUAGUUUGUCAACAAAAAUUUUCUUUGUACUGAGAAAGUGUUUUCCAAACUCGCAUUCCAUGGAAGAAGGCUCUGCAGUUGCAAGAAAUACUAAGGAAGAGCAAUGACAAGCAGGCAUUUUAUGGUCAGGUUAUUUAGGGAAAUGCUGGUUUAUAAAAAAGACAGGAAGAUUUGUUUAUUACAUCUUUCCCAGAGGCUUGCCCUAUGUGACUGUGUUUUACCAAUGUCUAAUGAGGAGAAUUUAGCAUGCUACUCAAAUGCACUUAACUAGAGGAAACUUUCUUUCCCCCUAAAAGAGCCUUUUAACAUCCCUCGUAGCUGAGGUUCUGCAGAGAAGGAAAGGGAGACCCUGGGAGAGAAGAGACAAGAAGAGAAACGCAGGACGAGGAAGCCUAAACUCAUGCCGCCUGGGUCUGUCCUCCCCUGGUCUCUGUUCCCUCUCUCUCCUCCUGUCCUUGGCAGCCACUGUCCAUCUCUGCACAGUGGACAGCAGCCGUCUCAGACACUGUGCAUGUCCUCAACAUCUGGAAAUUCCCAUCAACCCUGCUUUUCUAAGAAGUGUGUUCAUCAUAAAUUAUUCCCAAACCAUUUAAUGGAAUAACCCAAAGUUCUCUGGGUUAUUAUGUACUAGUGGUUUUAGUACAUUCCCCUUUGCAAAGUUGUGUUUUUGUUUUUGUUGCAAACAUCCUGAACUUGAGCAAAUGCUCUGGGGCAUUUACUAAGGUAAGACUGUUCCCUUGAGUCUGUGAAUGGCAGUAAUAGAUUUCUACUAUUGGACUUGGCAUUUCCAGUUGGUGAUGACGCAUUGUUUAUUAUUUUAAAAAAUAUACCCAUGGCUGAUUUUCAUUUAGAAGUUUUUCAUCUUUUCAUCUCUGUUCGUAAGACAGAUGUAUAGAUUUUCUUUCUUUCUUUCUUCUUCCUUCCUUUUUUUUUGGUCCAAUUUGUUGUUAGGAUCCUGCUACCCAUACACAGUCAACUGGAGUAUCUUCCUGUCACUGUCUAUGCUCUGGAAUUUUAAAAAGUAUGUUAACAUGGGAAUUAUGAGUCCCUGAAAGUUGGUGUAGCUUAUGCAAAACUCUCUGGGCCGGAUGGUUUUUGAUAGCAUUUUAUUUUCUUCUAGAUUGGUACAUUUAGGCCUUUUGCUUCAUCUGCAGAUACAUUUGUAAAAUGUUAUUUUCCUAGAAAAUGAAACUAUUUCCAGUAUAUUUCCAAGUUACUG
ensembl:lncRNA